rnacentral:piRNA from 1 species
UGAGAAGUUCUUGUGGAGUUAGCUUCUAAGA